rnacentral:misc_RNA from 1 species
UCCGGUUUAACACCGGCAGUCUCGCUAAAGUGCCCGCCAUUACGCGCUGGCAACUAACGAUAAGGGUUUCGCUCGUUAGGGGACUUAACCCGACAUCUCACGACACGAGCUGACGACAGCCAUGCAGCACCUGUGCUGGUUCCACGGCAAGCCGCGUCACUCCGCUUUCACGGAGCUAAUCCCAGCAUGUCAAACCCGGGUAAGGUUCUUCGCGUUGCUUCGAAUUAAGCCACAUGCUCCACCGCUUGUGUGAGCCCCCGUCAAUUCCUUUGAGUUUUAGCCUUGCGGCCGUACUCCCCAGGCGGCGCACUUAACACUUUUGUUUCGGCCCACGUGCCGUCAGAGGCCAAUGAACCUUGUGCGCAUCGUUUACGGCGUAGACUAC